ACAAUAGCGUUGUUGUGAAAUUUAAUUUCGAAAUAGCCGGUACUUAUGUAGUUCUUAUUUACUUACUUACUGUACGCGUUUUUUUUUUUUUUUUUAAACCGGAUAUUAAUCAUUCGCACAGACUCUUAUCUAAUGGGAUCUAAAUUUAAAUGUAUCUAUAUCGAUUUAACAUAUGGGCGUGAAUUCUUGUUUGUUCAUCAUUCUUAAUUGUUUACAACUUAAUAUUAUCAUGCCAUGUUUUAUCAUUUCAAAUGUUCGUUUGUGCGUCGUUGUCGAAAACAGUGCGCUAGUGUAACAGUAAUUAUUACGUUAGUUCGAUAAACUGUUACUAGAGUGUAGACCCUUGGAAUCUUUCAAAAUCCAAUACAAUAAGUUGUACAUAUUUUACUGUCCACGCACACUAUAUUAUAAUCGCACAAAAGUUUAAAAUUAAAAAAAUACCCAUACGUAAAGCGAUUUAAGUAAUAAAUGAUUAGUUAAAAUAAUUAUCCGGUCUGGAUAAACUUUUCUGGUCGUUUUUAACUGUUUUGGAGACAUUUAUUUACGAUAGAAUACUAUUAGAUACUUGAAAAAAUAAAAAUAAUAACCUCUCCGAGUACGGUAUAUGUAAUAAUGUUAUCAUUGUAAUAUAUCUAACUUUUUCGUUUUCCCUUUCUCUUUCUCUCAUUCUCUAAGAUGAUAAUAUCAUUUUUUUUUUCUUUCGUUUUAUAUAUUAUUCUCACUGAUAAAUCAACCGAUGAAUUGUUAUAAUUCAUUUCAUUGUACACCUUAUAUAUAUAUAUAUAUAUAUUAAACAUUACUUUUUAAAUUAAAUUGAAUAAUUUUGAAUUGAUUUAUAACUUAAACUAAAUUGAAUGAAUAAAUAAAAAAAAAACCAAUUUAUUUUUCCUUGAAAACAUAGACAAGAAAUCAAUGACGUUUUCAAAAUGAACAUUACGCGAGCCGUAGUGAUUGAACUGUACACCAACUUAUUGGUUUUAACCCCCACAACACAGUUAAUUCAUAAAACUUAACUCAACCUAGUUAAUAUUAUAGUCAUUCCUAGCCCAGUCUUGAUUUUUUUUUUUUUUUUUUUUGAAGGAGCUAGGAAUUCAACGGACAGACAAUAAAACAUCAUUAUUGUAUGUUAGGGUAGACCUGUUGUAAUCGGGUCAAUUUAACGUGACUCUGUGAUAUUUAUUAAAAACCCAUACUUGGGUGUUUAUAUAUUAUGAGAUUAUUAUUAUUAUUAUAAAUUGUAUGUAUAUUAUAAAUUUAUCUUUCUUAUUUUACCGAUUUAUCGUGCAACCAAGCGAUUUUUAUCCGUUUGGAAUUUAUUGUAAACGAUAUUCUUAUAGAUAUUGUAGGCGCGUAGAGCCGCAUAAUUGUUUCUUUAUAGAUUUUCAAAUGUAAUCUAUGAAUAAUAUUAUUUUGAUGUGUUUACAGGUUAGACGCGGUGUUGUAGCGCGUAAAGACUGCGGGCUGAGCACAAACGACCGAACGAACGAAUACGAAGUGAAUUCAGGUAGACUUUCGGCCGUACGCAGUUUACGGCAUUGGGUCGUUCGGUCGUGUUCAGGCCACAGUCUAAACGCACCUUUAUAAUAGGUAUACCUAUUUCAUAUACGUUUAUGUAUAUCUUUGUUAAUAUUUUUGAAUUGAUAUUUAUUUAUUAUGUAUACUCUUAUAUCUUAUUCGUAUGUAUUUUAAUAUUGAUUUAUUGUCUAUUAUUGUAAGUGUACGACUCUUGAAAUCCGAAAUUUCGUCGUUAGCCGAUAAUUGUUGAAAAUUUGUUAACAAACAAUAAUUAUUACAACGGAUCCCCGUCAAUGGAUUUAGACUCGCGGUGUUUCGAGACGACUGCAGAAUUUAAUCGAGUUCGGGCGAGUAUUAUUCGCAGUAUAAUAUUGUGUAUAAUACCUAUCUGUAAUAUGCAAAUCUUUGCGAUACAUUCAAAAUAAUAUCGAAUUCGCAAUAAUGUUCGCACUGCCGAGUGAUACGUUAUUAUUAUAAUACAAGUAUCGUUCGAAUUCAAAUACAAUAAUAUACAAAAUUCGGAAUGCGAACAACUCGUUUGUUUGAAUACAAUAAUACUAUCGGAAAUCGAAUUUAAAUCAAAUAUCUAGUCGUUUUAUUUCUUCGCGACAAUUUUUUUAAUCUAUCAUAUUAUAAUCAUUAUUUUAUAUUUAUUACCCCUAAGACCAAACAUUUUUUCAAUUACUUAUUGUUUAUCAUAAAAUUAUUUAAAUGUAAACGAUUUUAAAGGUAAACAUUUUCAAACAAAAAUAAUAAAUUACAUCAUCUCACGGUAAUUUCUUUUAGUUAUUUUAUAAUAGGGAAUUCCAUGUUUUUCAAACGAAUUUGCGCGAUUAUAGGGUUUUCGGGAAUCAAAUUUUAUAAUAUCGGAGACAUUUAUUAUUCUAUUUUCUAUCGGAAUUCUGACGGUCGAAAAACGUUUUAUAAUAUCCGCAAAACUCUUUGGCAACUUUUUUCUCCUCGAAAUUACAUAUUUUUUACCGCGCCCGACUGUAUAGUUGCGUAGAUACACGGAUUUCGUUAUUUAAUUAGUCUUCCUCGAGUCAGGUACGCACUAAACGUCAAUUCAAAAGUCGAUUACAUUACCUAAUCCUUUCUGAAAAUGUGUUCCUGAAAAAUGUAAAAUUUACCAAUGAAUUAUAGACGCGUCCAAUUUCCGGGACGGGAGUCGAAAUUACACCAGUGUGUAUAGGGACGGAGUAGCCGGUCAGGAACAUAUAGGAUAUAGAUAUCAUAAUAAAUAAUGGGUAGGCCACCACAUAAUACAAUCACUAUUCAGAAUUGAGAAAAAUAGCGUUCCAUAUACUGUUGUCUUUCUCUAUGGGUAGCUGAAGAUAUUUUGAGGUUAUGUUCGAACUAAGAUAGUAUCUAGAAUUUUGUGAUUAGCAGCUAUAAUAACGGUAUUUGAACAAUGGCGAUUUGUCGAUUUGUUGGUCGUCCGUCCGUCAAUUUUCAAUUUCAUUUAAAAAUCGAUUAUCACUUCACCGAUUCUUUAUUAGCAACUUCACUUAACAAAUUAAACCGUUUGGAAGGUUCAGCGAAAUAAUGUUUGAUAUAGUUUCGGAAAUAAAUUAUAUUAAAGCGUUAAAGUAGCAAUAAAGUGGUUUUAAUUAACUAAACAAACUAAACAAUAUGGUGUUUUGUUUUUUUUUUUUUGUUAAUAUACAAACUCGAAAAAUAACAUUUAAUAUAAUUAGUACAGGUUCAAUAAAAAAAUAAUAUAAAUAAAAAUCAAAAUCGGUCGUAGCAAGAACAAUUUUUUUUUAAAUUUUAUUGGCGGGGCGGGUAAUCGUCGGGGGUGAACUGAGUAAAUUUUAAUCUCCCUGCGCCUGAAUUUGGUUCUCGCUCCGUCCCUGCAUAGCUGUGCGUAAAGCAUUUUCGAUUGCCUAUACCUAGAAAUUGCACGGUAUUUCGUCGAACGUUUAAAACACGAUUACAGUAUAAUAUUGAAUUUACAUCCGAAUUUGUGUUUUAACAUAAAACCGAGUUUUUAUACCCAUGACGAAAAAAAAAAAAAAAAAUUACGUUAAAAACUAUAUGUGUGAUUUUUUUUUUUUUUUAUGUCCUUCAUUAAUUAUAUUAUUAUAUAUAUAUUGACCCCGCCGACCGAACGCACACGUACACGUAUAGGUGUUUUAAUACUCGAAAACCGAAAAACGUCCGAAACAGAGUAAAAAUUGAUCGAUACGUUAAAACUUGUUUUCCGUGUAUUUUGUAUUAAUAUUGACGGGAUGUCGUUUGUGCGCGUUAUUUUUUUUCAAUGUUAACUUUGUUUUUUUUUUUUUUAUUUUUGUUACAAUAUGUUCCAUUAAUCAAUAUUCGUGUCACGGUAAUUAAUUAAUAAUAUAUUUCGUUAUUCGUUCGUUAAUUGUCGUAGUAUAUAAUAUGUCACUUAAAUGUUACGAAAAAAUAAAUGUGUAUUUAAUAUAAUAGCAGCUAUAUUGUAUUGUAUAAUUAUUGUACUCGUAGAUGUUUAUCGGUUAUUGUUUGUUCGAUUCAAUUGUUUAUACUUCUUUUCAAAAAAAAAAAAAAAUGUCUAACGGUUCCCCAUACUUUUAUUAUUAUAUUAUGUAAACAUUUGUUUCGUUUUGCAAUUUGUUUGUAUUUAUUAU